rnacentral:rRNA from 1 species
GAUGAAUGCUGGCGGCGUGCUUAACACAUGCAAGCCGAGCGGUAACAGGAGUAGUUUACUACUUGCUGACGAGCGGCGGACGGCUGAGUAACGCGUGAGAACAUGCCCCAAAGUGAGGAAUAACUGCCCGAAAGGGUAGCUAAUGCCGCAUAUGAUCUUCGGAUUAAAGGAUUUAUCCGCUUUGGGAGUGGCCUGCGUAUGAUUAGGUAGUUGGUGGGGUAAUGGCUCACCAAGCCGACGAUCAUUAGCUGGUCUGAGAGGAUGACCAGCCAGACUGGAACUGAGACACGGUCCAGACUCCUACGGGAGGCAGCAGUGGGGAAUAUUGGACAAUGGGCGCAAGCCUGAUCCAGCCAUGCCGCGUGAGUGAUGAAGGCCUUAGGGUUGUAAAGCUCUUUCGCCGACGAAGAUAAUGACGGUAGUCGGAGAAGAAGCCCCGGCUAACUUCGUGCCAGUAGCCGCAGUAACA